GGAGAGGUGGCUGAGUGGUCGAAAGCGCAUCUUUGGAGAAGAUGUGUAGCUGUAAAGUUACCGUGGGUUCAAAUCCCACCCUCUCCG
rnacentral:tRNA from 1 species